rnacentral:miRNA from 1 species
ACCUGAGAAUGAGAUGUGCUGU